UACAGAGGUCUCAAGCGUUGUUCGGAUUCAUUGGGCGUAAAGGGUGUGUAGGUGGCGCCGUAAGUCGGGUGUGAAAUUUCGGAGCUUAACUCCGAAACUGCAUUCGAUACUGCGGUGCUUGAGGACUGGAGAGGAGACUGGAAUUCAUGGUGUAGCAGUGAAAUGCGUAGAUAUCGUAAGGAAGACCAGUGGCGGAAGGCGGGUCUCUGGACAGUUCCUGACGCUGGAGGCACGAAGGCCAGGGGAGCAAACGGG
rnacentral:rRNA from 1 species